rnacentral:rRNA from 1 species
UAGGGAAUCUUCGGCAAUGGACGAAAGUCUGACCGAGCAACGCCGCGUGAGUGAAGAAGGUUUUCGGAUCGUAAAACUCUGUUGUUAGAGAAGAACAAGGACGUUAGUAACUGAACGGCCCCUGACGGUAUCUAACCAUAAAGCCACGGCUAACUACGUGCCAGCAGCCGCGGUAAUACGUAGGUGGCAAGCGUUGUCCGGAUUUAUUGGGCGUAAAGCGAGCGCAGGCGGUUUCUUAAGUCUGCUGUGAAAGCCCCCGGCUCAACCGGGGAGGGUCAUUGGAAACUGGGAGACUUGAGUGCAGAAGAGGAGAGUGGAAUUCCAUGUGUAGCGGUGAAAUGCGUAGAUAUAUGGAGGAACACCAGUGGCGAAGGCGGCUCUCUGGUCUGUAACUGACGCUGAGGCUCGAAAGCGUGGGGAGCAAACAGG